AGUUUGAUCCUGGCUCAGAUUGAACGCUGGCGGCAUGCUUUACACAUGCAAGUCGAACGGCAGCGCGGGGCAACCUGGCGGCGAGUGGCGAACGGGUGAGUAAUAUAUCGGAACGUACCCAAGAGUGGGGGAUAACGUAGCGAAAGUUACGCUAAUACCGCAUACGAUCUAAGGAUGAAAGCAGGGGAUCUUCGGACCUUGUGCUCCUGGAGCGGCCGAUAUCUGAUUAGCUAGUUGGUGAGGUAAAGGCUCACCAAGGCCACGAUCAGUAGCUGGUCUGAGAGGACGACCAGCCACACUGGAACUGAGACACGGUCCAGACUCCUACGGGAGGCAGCAGUGGGGAAUUUUGGACAAUGGGCGAAAGCCUGAUCCAGCAAUGCCGCGUGAGUGAAGAAGGCCUUCGGGUUGUAAAGCUCUUUUGUCAGGGAAGAAACGGUGAGGGCUAAUAUCCCUCGCUAAUGACGGUACCUGAAGAAUAAGCACCGGCUAACUAC
rnacentral:rRNA from 1 species